rnacentral:rRNA from 1 species
UCCUACGGGAGGCAGCAGUGGGGAAUCUUAGACAAUGGGGGCAACCCUGAUCUAGCCAUGCCGCGUGAGUGAUGAAGGCCUUAGGGUCGUAAAGCUCUUUCGCCUGUGAUGAUAAUGACAGUAGCAGGUAAAGAAACCCCGGCUAACUCCGUGCCAGCAGCCGCGGUAAUACGGAGGGGGUUAGCGUUGUUCGGAAUUACUGGGCGUAAAGCGCGCGUAGGCGGAUUAGAAAGUUGGGGGUGAAAUCCCGGGGCUCAACCCCGGAACUGCCUCCAAAACUGCUAGUCUAGAGUUCGAGAGAGGUGAGUGGAAUUCCGAGUGUAGAGGUGAAAUUCGUAGAUAUUCGGAGGAACACCAGUGGCGAAGGCGGCUCACUGGCUCGAUACUGACGCUGAGGUGCGAAAGUGUGGGGAGCAAACAGGAUUAGAUACCCUGGUAGUCCACACCGUAAACGAUGAAUGCCAGUCGUCGGAUAGUAUACUAUUCGGUGACACACCUAACGGAUUAAGCAUUCCGCCUGGGGAGUACGGUCGCAAGAUUAAAACUCA